UUUCUCAUAGUUGAAUACAACGAUGAUUUUUCAGAUCAUUGGUCUUAGUUAAGUCUAAGUGGGAAUU
rnacentral:tRNA from 1 species